GAUGAACGCUGGCGGCGUGCCUAAUACAUGCAAGUCGAGCGAACAGACGAGGGGCUUGCUCCUCUGACGUUAGCGGCGGACGGGUGAGUAACACGUGGAUAACCUACCUAUAAGACUGGGAUAACUUCGGGAAACCGGAGCUAAUACCGGAUAAUAUAUUGAACCGCAUGGUUCAAUAGUGAAAGACGGUUUUGCUGUCACUUAUAGAUGGAUCCGCGCCGCAUUAGCUAGUUGGUAAGGUAACGGCUUACCAAGGCAACGAUGCGUAGCCGACCUGAGAGGGUGAUCGGCCACACUGGAACUGAGACACGGUCCAGACUCCUACGGGAGGCAGCAGUAGGGAAUCUUCCGCAAUGGGCGAAAGCCUGACGGAGCAACGCCGCGUGAGUGAUGAAGGUCUUCGGAUCGUAAAACUCUGUUAUUAGGGAAGAACAAAUGUGUAAGUAACUAUGCACGUCUUGACGGUACCUAAUCAGAAAACCACGGCUAACUACGU
rnacentral:rRNA from 1 species